rnacentral:rRNA from 1 species
AUGAGGCUUCCAGGCGCAGGCGGCGGCGGGAGCGGGGACGCGGGGUUCGUGCGGGCGGACCAGAUCGACCUCAAGAGCCUCGACGAGCAACUGGAGCGCCACCUCAGCCGCCAGGAGCGGGACGCGCCAGCCCCGGCGCAGCCAGGGAGCCGCCGAGGCGGGUCCGCGAGGCUGGGGGAGCCGCAGCCAGCGCCGCAGCAGCGCCGGCGCCGCGAGGACUGGGAGGUUGACCCCGCCAAGCUCGUCAUCAAAGGCGUCAUUGCCCGCGGCACCUUCGGCACCGUCCACCGCGGCGUCUAUGACGGUCAGGACGUUGCCGUGAAGUUGCUUGACUGGGGGGAGGAUGGUCAUAGAUCAGAACAAGAAAUUACCGCACUAAGAUCAGCAUUUGCACAAGAGGUCGCUGUGUGGCAUAAGCUUGAUCAUCCAAAUGUUACGAAGUUUAUUGGGGCUAUAAUGGGUGCAAGAGAUCUAAAUGUACAGACAGAACAUGGGCAUCUUGGCAUGCCGAGUAAUAUUUGCUGCGUUGUUGUUGAGUACCUUGCUGGUGGUGCACUGAAAAAUUUCCUGAUAAAAAAUAGGAGAAGGAAGCUAGCCUUUAAAGUUGUGGUCCAACUAGCCCUUGACCUUGCCAGGGGAUUAAGCUAUCUUCACUCGGAGAAGAUAGUGCAUCGUGAUGUGAAGACUGAAAAUAUGCUUCUCGACAAAACAAGAACCGUGAAAAUUGCUGAUUUUGGGGUUGCUCGAGUCGAGGCUUCAAACCCUAGCGACAUGACGGGUGAAACAGGCACACUUGGUUACAUGGCACCUGAGGUCCUGAAUGGUCAUCCUUACAACAGGAAAUGCGAUGUUUAUAGCUUUGGGAUCUGCUUAUGGGAGAUAUACUGCUGCGACAUGCCAUAUCCUGACCUCAGCUUCUCAGAAGUAACUUCUGCCGUUGUCCGCCAGAACCUGAGGCCGGAGAUACCGCGGUGCUGUCCGAGCGCUUUGGCGAACGUGAUGAAACGGUGCUGGGACGCGAACCCCGACAAGCGGCCUGAGAUGGCCGAGGUGGUGGCCAUGAUAGAGGCCAUCGACACGUCCAAGGGCGGCGGCAUGAUCCCGAUAGACCAGUCGCAGGGGUGCUUCGCCUGCUUCCGUCAGUACCGAGGCCCCUGA